UGCACGUCUGCAAGGCUGGGCACCAUCCCUGCUGCAUCUCUGCCAGCCUGUGGAAAGGUCCCUGCUGCACGUCUGCAAGGCUGGGCACCAUCCCUGCUGCACCUCUGCAACCUGCUGCACCUCUGCCGUGGGUCUGCAACCUGCUGCACCUCUGCAGGGCUGGGCACUGUCCCUGCUGCAUCUCUGCCAGCCAGUGGCACUGUCCCUGCCGCCGGGACAACGCAGCGAUCCCAGCCCGGCGUUGUCUGGUUCUUACAGCCCGGGGUCCCAAAGCCCCGCGAUCCUCGCAGCCCCUGCGUGUUGCAACACCUGCGGGCAAGAGCCCCCAGGAAAACAAAGAAGAUGCUGAGUGCUGACCAGAGGUUUUCAUCUGAGUUAUCAUCUCUCCAGAGCUCCUGCUGCUGGCCCAGACUGCUGAAACCCAGGGAGCUCCAUCCCACUGGGAAACUAUUGGCAAGAUCUACAGGACCGACACUACUUUGGAUGACACUUGUGGAGAACUGGAAAAAGUGCAGGA